GUCUACCGCCAUACCACCCUAAAUGCACCCGAUCUUGUCUGAUCUCAGAAGCUAAGCAGGGUCUUAGUUCUUGGAUGUUAGUUCUUGGAUGGGAGAUG
rnacentral:rRNA from 1 species